UACGUAGGGGGCAAGCGUUGUCCGGAAUCAUUGGGCGUAAAGAGCGUGUAGGCGGCUUGGUAAGUCCGCUGUGAAAGUCCAGGGCUCAACCCUGGAAAAGCCGGUGGAAACUGUCAAGCUUGAGUCCGGAAGAGGCGAGUGGAAUUCCUGGUGUAGCGGUGAAAUGCGCAGAUAUCAGGAGGAACACCAAUGGCGAAGGCAGCUCGCUGGGACGGUACUGACGCUGAGACGCGAAAAGCGUGGGGGAGAAAAACAGG
rnacentral:rRNA from 1 species